rnacentral:rRNA from 1 species
UACGUAGGGGGCAAGCGUUGUCCGGAUUUAUUGGGCGUAAAGAGCGUGUAGGCGGUCAGGUAGGUCCGUUGAGAAAACUCGAGGCUCAACCUCGAGACGCCGAUGGAAACCAUCUGACUAGAGUCCGGAAGAGGAGAGUGGAAUUCCUGGUGUAGCGGUGAAAUGCGCAGAUAUCAGGAAGAACACCCGUGGCGAAGGCGGCUCUCUAGUACGGUACUGACGCUGAGACGCGAAAGCGUGGGGAGCGAACAGG